rnacentral:misc_RNA from 1 species
GAAGAAAGAAAGUUCUCCAGUAUACUCGAUAUGCUUCAGUUGGGUUUGCUGUAGUACAGGCGAUUGGCCAAGUUCUUUACCUUCGUUCCUAUGUCAAUGACUUCAGUACACAGUGGGUUCUGACAUCUGUUACUCUAUUGACACUUGGUUCUGUAUUUACAACCUACAUUGGGGAACGAAUCUCUGACCUAAAACUUGGCAAUGGCACGUCUCUUUUGAUAUUCACAAGUAUUAUUUCCUAUUUGCCGGCAUCUUUUGGUAGGACAGUUGCACAGGCAUUUCAGGAUGGUAACUAUGUUGGGCUUGUUACAAUCAUC